GGGUUGUGAGGUUAAGCGACUAAGCGUACACGGUGGAUGCCCUGGCAGUCAGAGGCGAUGAAGGGCGUGCUAAUCUGCGAUAAGCGCCGGUAAGGUGAUAUGAACCGUUAUAACCGGCGAUACCCGAAUGGGGAAACCCAGUGUGAUUCGUCACACUAUCAUUAACUGAAUCCAUAGGUUAAUGAGGCGAACCGGGGGAACUGAAACAUCUAAGUACCCCGAGGAAAAGAAAUCAACCGAGAUUCCCCCAGUAGCGGCGAGCGAACGGGGAGGAGCCCAGAGCCUGAAUCAGCAUGUGUGUUAGUGGAAGCGUCUGGAAAGGCGCGCGAUACAGGGUGACAGCCCCGUACACAAAAGCGCAUGUGCUGUGAGCUCGAUGAGUAGGGCGGGACACGUGGUAUCCUGUCUGAAUAUGGGGGGACCAUCCUCCAAGGCUAAAUACUCCUGACUGACCGAUAGUGAACCAGUACCGUGAGGGAAAGGCGAAAAGAACCCCGGCGAGGGGAGUGAAAAAGAACCUGAAACCGUGUACGUACAAGCAGUGGGAGCACCCUUUUGGGUGUGACUGCGUACCUUUUGUAUAAUGGGUCAGCGACUUAUAUUCUGUAGCAAGGUUAACCGUAUAGGGGAGCCGUAGGGAAACCGAGUCUUAACCGGGCGUUAAGUUGCAGGGUAUAGACCCGAAACCCGGUGAUCUAGCCAUGGGCAGGUUGAAGGUUGGGUAACACUAACUGGAGGACCGAACCGACUAAUGUUGAAAAAUUAGCGGAUGACCUGUGGCUGGGGGUGAAAGGCCAAUCAAACCGGGAGAUAGCUGGUUCUCCCCGAAAGCUAUUUAGGUAGCGCCUCGUGAAUUCAUCUCCGGGGGUAGAGCACUGUUUCGGCUAGGGGGCCAUCCCGGCUUACCAACCCGAUGCAAACUGCGAAUACCGGAGAAUGUUAUCACGGGAGACACACGGCGGGUGCUAACGUCCGUCGUGAAGAGGGAAACAACCCAGACCGCCAGCUAAGGUCCCAAAGUCAUGGUUAAGUGGGAAACGAUGUGGGAAGGCCCAGACAGCCAGGAUGUUGGCUUAGAAGCAGCCAUCAUUUAAAGAAAGCGUAAUAGCUCACUGGUCGAGUCGGCCUGCGCGGAAGAUGUAACGGGGCUAAACCAUGCACCGAAGCUGCGGCAGCGACACUCAUGUGUUGUUGGGUAGGGGAGCGUUCUGUAAGCCUGUGAAGGUGUGUCGUGAGGCAUGCUGGAGGUAUCAGAAGUGCGAAUGCUGACAUAAGUAACGAUAAAGCGGGUGAAAAGCCCGCUCGCCGGAAGACCAAGGGUUCCUGUCCAACGUUAAUCGGGGCAGGGUGAGUCGACCCCUAAGGCGAGGCCGAAAGGCGUAGUCGAUGGGAAACGGGUUAAUAUUCCCGUACUUGGUGUUACUGCGAAGGGGGGACGGAGAAGGCUAUGUUGGCCGGGCGACGGUUGUCCCGGUUUAAGCGUGUAGGCUGGUUUUCCAGGCAAAUCCGGAAAAUCAAGGCUGAGGCGUGACGACGAGGCACUACGGUGCUGAAGCAACAAAUGCCCUGCUUCCAGGAAAAGCCUCUAAGCAUCAGGUAACAUCAAAUCGUACCCCAAACCGACACAGGUGGUCAGGUAGAGAAUACCAAGGCGCUUGAGAGAACUCGGGUGAAGGAACUAGGCAAAAUGGUGCCGUAACUUCGGGAGAAGGCACGCUGACACGUAGGUGAAGUGAUUUACUCAUGGAGCUGAAGUCAGUCGAAGAUACCAGCUGGCUGCAACUGUUUAUUAAAAACACAGCACUGUGCAAACACGAAAGUGGACGUAUACGGUGUGACGCCUGCCCGGUGCCGGAAGGUUAAUUGAUGGGGUCAGCGCAAGCGAAGCUCCUGAUCGAAGCCCCGGUAAACGGCGGCCGUAACUAUAACGGUCCUAAGGUAGCGAAAUUCCUUGUCGGGUAAGUUCCGACCUGCACGAAUGGCGUAAUGAUGGCCAGGCUGUCUCCACCCGAGACUCAGUGAAAUUGAACUCGCUGUGAAGAUGCAGUGUACCCGCGGCAAGACGGAAAGACCCCGUGAACCUUUACUAUAGCUUGACACUGAACAUUGAGCCUUGAUGUGUAGGAUAGGUGGGAGGCUUUGAAGUGUGGACGCCAGUCUGCAUGGAGCCGACCUUGAAAUACCACCCUUUAAUGUUUGAUGUUCUAACGUGGACCCGUAAUCCGGGUUGCGGACAGUGUCUGGUGGGUAGUUUGACUGGGGCGGUCUCCUCCUAAAGAGUAACGGAGGAGCACGAAGGUUGGCUAAUCCUGGUCGGACAUCAGGAGGUUAGUGCAAUGGCAUAAGCCAGCUUGACUGCGAGCGUGACGGCGCGAGCAGGUGCGAAAGCAGGUCAUAGUGAUCCGGUGGUUCUGAAUGGAAGGGCCAUCGCUCAACGGAUAAAAGGUACUCCGGGGAUAACAGGCUGAUACCGCCCAAGAGUUCAUAUCGACGGCGGUGUUUGGCACCUCGAUGUCGGCUCAUCACAUCCUGGGGCUGAAGUAGGUCCCAAGGGUAUGGCUGUUCGCCAUUUAAAGUGGUACGCGAGCUGGGUUUAGAACGUCGUGAGACAGUUCGGUCCCUAUCUGCCGUGGGCGCUGGAGAACUGAGGGGGGCUGCUCCUAGUACGAGAGGACCGGAGUGGACGCAUCACUGGUGUUCGGGUUGUCAUGCCAAUGGCACUGCCCGGUAGCUAAAUGCGGAAGAGAUAAGUGCUGAAAGCAUCUAAGCACGAAACUUGCCCCGAGAUGAGUUCUCCCUGAGACUUAGAGUCUCCUGAAGGAACGUUGAAGACGACGACGUUGAUAGGCCGGGUGUGUAAGCGCAGCGAUGCGUUGAGCUAACCGGUACUAAUGAACCGUGAGGCUUAACCUUACAACGCCGAAG
rnacentral:rRNA from 1 species